GGAGGGGUGGCAGAGCGGUUGAAUGCACUGGUCUUGAAAACCAGCAUGCGUCUUACGGCGUAUCGAGGGUUCGAAUCCCUCCCCCUCCG
rnacentral:tRNA from 1 species